GGUUCUAUAGUGUAGCGGUUAUCACUCCGGAUUCUGAUUCCGGCAACCCCGGUUCGAGUCCGGGUAGGACCU